AUUGAACGCUGGCGGCAUGCUUUACACAUGCAAGUCGAGCGGCAGCGCGGGACUCAGGCAACUGAGCCCUGGCGGCGAGCGGCGAACGGGUGAGGAAUACAUCGGAACGUACCCCGGAGUGGGGGAUAACGCCGCGAAAGCGGCGCUAAUACCGCAUAUGCUCUGUGGAGGAAAGUGGGGGACCCGCAAGGGCCUCACGCUCUGGGCGCGGCCGAUGCCGAUUAGCUAGUUGGUGAGGUAAUGGCUCACCAAGGCGACGAUCGGUAGCUGGUCUGAGAGGAUGAUCAGCCACACUGGGACUGAGACACGGCCCAGACUCCUACGGGAGCAGCAGUGGGGAAUUUUGGACAAUGGGGCAACCCUGAUCCAGCCAUGCCGCGUGCGGGAAGAAGGCCUC
rnacentral:rRNA from 1 species